rnacentral:rRNA from 1 species
AACGAACGCUGGCGGCAUGCCUAACACAUGCAAGUCGAACGAGACCUUCGGGUCUAGUGGCGCACGGGUGCGUAACGCGUGGGAACCUGCCCUUAGGUUCGGAAUAACUCCACGAAAGGGGUGCUAAUACCGGAUAAUGUCUUCGGACCAAAGAUUUAUCGCCUUUGGAUGGGCCCGCGUUGGAUUAGCUAGUUGGUAGGGUAAAAGCCUACCAAGGCGACGAUCCAUAGCUGGUCUGAGAGGAUGAUCAGCCACACUGGGACUGAGACACGGCACAGACUCCUACGGGAGGCAGCAGUGGGGAAUAUUGGACAAUGGGCUAAAGCCUGAUCCAGCAAUGCCGCGUGAGUGAUGAAGGCCUUAGAGUUGUAAAGCUCUUUUACCCGGGAUGAUAAUGACAGUACCGGGAGAAUAAGCUCCGGCUAACUCCGUG